GACAGAGGUGCCAAGCGUUAAUCGGAAUUACUGGGCGUAAAGCGUGCGCAGGCGGUUCGUUGUGUCGGCGGUGAAAGCCCCGGGCUUAACCUGGGAAUGGCCGUUGAAACUGGCGAACUGGAGUGUGGCAGAGGGGGGUGGAAUUCCGCGUGUAGCAGUGAAAUGCGUAGAGAUGCGGAGGAACACCGAUGGCGAAGACAGCCCCCUGGGCUAACACUGACGCUCAGGCACGAAAGCGUGGGGAGCAAACAGG
rnacentral:rRNA from 1 species